rnacentral:tRNA from 1 species
GGCCAGGUAGCCCAGUUGGUUAGAGCAUCGGCCUGAUGCGCCAAGGUUGUGGGUUCGAUCCCCGGUCAGGGCA